AUGAAAAAAAUAGCAGCAACGCGGGUAUAUAAAGUAUUCGAUAGUUAUAGUAAAUUAAUACACAACCUGUACAAGAAGAAAUUGAUUCUUAAUCGUAAAAUGCUUGCACAAGUAGCUGUAUCAAAUCCAAAUAAUCUUUACACUCGCAUAUAUUCAUAA
rnacentral:rRNA from 1 species